rnacentral:rRNA from 1 species
GAUGAACGCUGGCGGCGUGCCUAAUACAUGCAAGUCGUGCGAACAGAUGAGGAGCUUGCUCCUCUGACGUUAGCGGCGGACGGGUGAGUAACACGUGGAUAACCUACCUAUAAGACUGGGAUAACUUCGGGAAACCGGAGCUAAUACCGGAUAAUAUAUUGAACCGCAUGGUUCAAUAGUGAAAGACGGUUUUGCUGUCACUUAUAGAUGGAUCCGCGCCGCAUUAGCUAGUUGGUAAGGUAACGGCUUACCAAGGCAACGAUGCGUAGCCGACCUGAGAGGGUGAUCGGCCACACUGGAACUGAGACACGGUCCAGACUCCUACGGGAGGCAGCAGUAGGGAAUCUUCCGCAAUGGGCGAAAGCCUGACGGAGCAACGCCGCGUGAGUGAUGAAGGUCUUCGGAUCGUAAAACUCUGUUAUUAAGGAAGAACAAAUGUGUAAGUAACCAUGCACGUCUUGACGGUACCUAAUCAGAAAGCCACGGCUAACUACGUG